rnacentral:rRNA from 1 species
GAUGAACGCUGGCGGCGUGCUUAACACAUGCAAGUCGAACGAAGCACUUUAUUUGAUUUCCUUCGGGACUGAUUAUUUUGUGACUGAGUGGCGGACGGGUGAGUAACGCGUGGGUAACCUGCCUUGUACAGGGGGAUAACAGUUGGAAACGGCUGCUAAUACCGCAUAAGCGCACGGCAUCGCAUGAUGCAGUGUGAAAAACUCCGGUGGUAUAAGAUGGACCCGCGUUGGAUUAGCUAGUUGGUGAGGUAACGGCCCACCAAGGCGACGAUCCAUAGCCGACCUGAGAGGGUGACCGGCCACAUUGGGACUGAGACACGGCCCAAACUCCUACGGGAGGCAGCAGUGGGGAAUAUUGCACAAUGGGCGAAAGCCUGAUGCAGCGACGCCGCGUGAGCGAAGAAGUAUUUCGGUAUGUAAAGCUCUAUCAGCAGGGAAGAUAAUGACGGUACCUGACUAAGAAGC